rnacentral:rRNA from 1 species
AUUGAACGCUGGCGGCAUGCCUUACACAUGCAAGUCGAACGGCAGCACGGGAGCAAUCCUGGUGGCGAGUGGCGAACGGGUGAGUAAAGUAUCGGAACGUGCCCAGUCGUGGGGGAUAACGUAGCGAAAGUUACGCUAAUACCGCAUACGAUCUAUGGAUGAAAGCGGGGGAUCGCAAGACCUCGCGCGAUUGGAGCGGCCGAUAUCAGAUUAGGUAGUUGGUGGGGUAAAGGCUAACCAAGCCGACGAUCUGUAGCUGGUCUGAGAGGACGACCAGACACACGGGGACUGAGACACGGCCCAGACUCCUACGGGAGGCAGCAGUGGGGAAUUUUGGACAAUGGGCGAAAGCCUGAUCCAGCCAUGCCGCGUGCAGGAUGAAGGCCUUCGGGUUGUAAACUGCUUUUGUACGGAACGAAAAGGUUUGGCCUAAUAAGCUGAGCUCAUGACGGUACCGUAAGAAUAAGCACCGGCUAACUACGUGCCAGCCGCCGCGGUAA